UUGGUAUUAGUAAGAUGAAUUGUCUUAAUUGCAUGAUCUGAAAUUAAUUAUUUAAACAAGCAAUCUUGGAAACGACAGGUUACAAGUUGAUAACACAUAUGUGAUUGUAAUGGGCCAAAAUUGCCCGGCCCGUGACCCCCAAAUAAAUAAACAGAAAAUAAAAAAUCAAACCCAAACAGGCCCAAUAAAAAUCCUCAAACCUUAGCCCAAAAUUACAAGCCCAAAAGUUCAAAAUUUUCCAGCAAAAUAAAUAAAAACAAGAAACCCUAAGUGCUUCAGCCGCUGCAGCCAAGACAGUCUCCAGGCACCGCACGUCGCGCACCUCUCCGCAUCGUGUGCUGCUCCACCACACCACGUUAGUGGUACGCUCGACCAUGCAUCUGCAAACAAGCAUUGUAAAAAGGCUAUAAAAGCCUCAUGAAAACUCAUUGUAGAGGAUCUUUUUUUUUUUACGAAUACAAUAACAGAGAAUAUACACAAAAUCUAACACAAACAGAGAUCAAAAGCAACAAUAUUUGUUAAAGGUGAUUUUAAGUUUUUUUUUCCUUUCAGUUUUGCUACUAUUUCCUUGAUUUAUCUAUUUUGUGUGAAAAAUAGUAUAAGAGAAAAGAGGGAAAAGCUCACCGGAGUUACGUCGCGCUCACGCCGUCGGUGGUCCGUUGGUUGCAAUCGGAUUUUGGGCAGUUGGGGGGUCAAAUGAUAGCCUUUCGGCCGGAGGGAAAAGGGAAAAAAUGAAAGGUUUUAGGUUUUUGUUUUUAAAAUAGAGAUUAAAAUGGUUUUCAGAAAAAAAAAAUGGGUUAAGUAAUUGAAGUGAAACGGCGCCGUAUGGGGGGGUGACCCGCGCGUCGACCCGACCCAAAAGAGGGGGUCAGCGCGUUUUGGCUCUGGAUGGGGAAUUUGCGCAAUCAGCCCUUCUCCUAUACGCUAGCAUUCAAUCGGGCCAUGUCAAUGCUUUCUUUAGUCCUUUUAAUCUUUCCCUGGAAUUUGAGUGUCAUUUUAAUUUAACCCAUGCUUAAGUGUUGCGUUUUGGGGCUUGGAGGCAUUUUGCAUUUUUAGUCCCUGUUUGUUU
rnacentral:lncRNA from 1 species